GGGUAAUGGCCCACCAAGCCGAUGAUCGGUACGGGUUGUGAGAGCAAGGGCCCGGAGAUGGAACCUGAGACAAGGUUCCAGACCCUACGGGGUGCAGCAGGCGCGAAACCUCCGCAAUGUACGAAAGUGCGACGGGGGGAUCCCAAGUGUUAUGCUUUUUUGUAUGACUUUUCAUUAGUGUAAAAAGCUUUUAGAAUAAGAGCUGGGCAAGACCGGUGCCAGCCGCCGCGGUAACACCGGCAGCUCGAGUGGUAGCUGUUUUUAUUGGGCCUAAAGCGUUCGUAGCCGGUUUGAUAAGUCUUUGGUGAAAGCUUGUAGCUUAACUAUAAGAAUUGCUGGAGAUACUAUUAGACUUGAAGUCGGGAGAGGUUAGAGGUACUACCGGGGUAGGGGUGAAAUCCUAUAAUCCUGGGAGGACCACCUGUGGCGAAGGCGUCUAACUGGAACGAUCUUGACGGUGAGUAACGAAAGCCAGGGGCGCGAACCGGAUUAGAUACCCGGGUAGUCCUGGCCGUAAACGAUGUGGACUUGGUGUUGGAAUGGCUUUGAGUUGUUCCGGUGCCGAAGGGAAGCUGUUAAGUCCACCGCCUGGGAAGUACGGUCGCAAGACUGAAACUUAA
rnacentral:rRNA from 1 species